UACGUAGGGUGCGAGCGUUGUCCGGAAUUACUGGGCGUAAAGAGCUUGUAGGCGGUUUGUCGCGUCGUCCGUGAAAACCAGUGGCUUAACCAUUGGCUUGCGGGCGAUACGGGCAGACUUGAGUAUUGCAGGGGAGACUGGAAUUCCUGGUGUAGCGGUGAAAUGCGCAGAUAUCAGGAGGAACACCGGUGGCGAAGGCGGAUCUCUGGGCCAUUACUGACGCUGAGGAGCGAAAGCGUGGGGAGCGAACAGG
rnacentral:rRNA from 1 species